rnacentral:rRNA from 1 species
UACGUAGGGUGCGAGCGUUAAUCGGAAUUACUGGGCGUAAAGCGGGUGUAGGUGGCUCAGCAAGUUAGGUGUGAAAGCCCCGGGCUCAACCUGGGAAGUGCAUCUAAAACUACUGAGCUUGAGUACGGGAGAGGGAAGCAGAAUUCCUGGUGUAGUGGUGAAAUACGUAGAUAUUCGGAGGAACACCAGUGGCGAAGGCGGCUCACUGGCUCGAUACUGACGCUGAGGUGCGAAAGCGUGGGGAGCAAACAGG